ensembl:lncRNA
AAGUACACUUCAACUGUGAGAGACAGAAUCUAAAACAAACAUCCACAUGGUUAAGACCAAACCAGACAUUGUCAAAUCUUAGUGGAAGACUGGACACUCCAAUUUACAGUCCUGUACACAGGAAUGGUUAUCAACGCCACUGCCCUUGGACUAAAACAAAGCAACAACAUACUGCCUCCAUGUUGGAUUGAAGUUCACAGGGAGGUCUGAAGGUGAUAUGGACAGAUGUGUUCCAGAUGCUCAUCAGUUUGUGACUUCCAGUCUAGCCCGAAGGUUGUAGCCAGACACCUCCUGCUCAUCUGUGCCAUCCUCUGGAUUGUCACCCUCUUCCUCAUGCUGAGGAUGGUCCUCCACCUCCAAGAUGUCAUCCUUAGAGAGACAAAGGUUGUGGAGAAUGUAGCAAGCCGCCACCACCUUGGGCACAUACCAAGGACACACUUCCAGAGCCCUCAGUAAGAUGGAUCUCCAGUGGGUUUUCAGCAUGCCAAACGUGUGCUCGAUUACGCACCUUGCCUUGGUGUGGUGGCCGUUGAACUGGGCCUCAUGGUGUAGAAAUCAUAUACAGUUACAUUAUUUGGUAGUGUUAUUUAAGACCACUACCAAGAUCUGUUUUCAUCAUAUAUAAGUCUGUCUUUAUUCAGUGUUGAAAACAAAGAGUACUUGGUAGUGAACUCAGACUUCUGGAGCCCACUGUGUGUUUGUGUGUGUUGGCAACCUUGGAUUUCAGUCCAGUAAAUAUCCGAACCAGCUACAGGGUGUUGAAACGGGGUGAUGACAGCCACAGGAUGCUGCAGGCAUGGAUAUCCACCAACUUCAGAAAAUAAUUCUGUUUGAUUUUGUUCAAUAAAGUGUUUUAGACCAUUAUUCCACAUGGUGUUGUUUAUAAAUGUUCAUAACUGAAUUGUAAACACCAUAACUCGUUGUGAAGUGGUUGAUUGCCAUUGCUAUACUGUGUAAUUUGUGGUCCAAGAUGAUUUCGACCUUUUAAAACUGUUUUGAUUCAGCCUAUGGAAUUGGAAACAAGCAGUUGCCAAUAGGAAACUCCAUUAAACCAUACUUCAGAUGGUUGGGCUUUCCAUUAAAGUUUUCAACUUAAGUAAAAUGGUUUGGUUACUGUUCCAUCACAUUGAGAAAGACUAGUGCCAACAUGAUGUAGCCUUGCCAUCCUCUGUCUCAUUCUGGCCCUCUGGAUCGGGUGCCUUUGCUCAGCGUCCUCCUAUAUAUAUAUACAUAUAUCUCUAACGGUUGUCUUGACAAUCUUUUACCAGCUGCUUUUUAACGCUGGUAGCUCGUUAGUGUGCUUGUGAAAUUCACGAGGUACCAGCGGGAAAAGGCUGAGGUAAAAUAUAGGCUAAAUAGGGAUUAGGUAGACAAAUAUAUCUAUAUAUAGAGGUACAGACACAGGAGCAUCAUAACACUUUUUACGUUAAAUAGCAUUUUAGUUAGGGUGACCACAUUUUCAAACUCCCAAACCGGGACCCUAGUGUAACCGCACGUUAACGCGCACAUGUAUGCGCUUACGCACGCAUGGUCAUCAUGCGUGAUUUUGGUUGGUGGAGCAGGGGACGCUUUGAUGAGAAUUGUUGCAUUGCUACGCAGUACUACCCAGUUGUUUGCUUGGCUUCGACUCCUAUGUGGAAACAUUACAAAAUUGUGGGGAACUUAUUGUGGUAGUGAAUAUUGGAAACCGGGGCAUUUUAGUGUUUUACAGAUAUUUGUCAUGAACAGGUGUUACGAAGAAUUCAGUGACCGUGCGAAUUCUGUGUGCCUGUCGAAAGUGCGCAUAUCGAAUAUUUAUUUCUGUCAGGGGGAGCGUGUGAUAUCUCGUGCACUUGUUGCUCCUCCUCGCACCCUACAUUGUCUUCCUUCUAAAAGGCGUCUGUUAACCUAAGCUUGUUUGCGCUGCAAUAUUAACCUUGUGAUCUUUGCGAUUCUGCAUCCAUAGAUACGUUUUUUUUAAAACAGCAGCAGAAAGCAAGUAUAUUGUGUUGUUUAACAUAUGGGUGUAGUACUGUAUUGUUGCAAUGACAAAUGCCAUGUUUGCGUUAGCUAGCACAGCCAGUCAAAGUAACUGUGAUAUAGUUUGCCAAUUCAAUGUGUUGGACUUCUCUCAAUAUUAACAAGCUACCCAUACGGAAAAUGUAUGUAUUUAAAAUAUAUUAUUUUUAUACAUUUAAUAAAUGUAUGUCAAGGUGUUCCAAUUGGAUUCCUUAAAUAUAUUUAGAAAACAUUUAUUACUAUACGAACCCGCAAAUUACCGCUAUCCUGUCGGGCGCCCUAAAUACUGCUCCAAACAAGUUAGUAGUGGUUUUACCAAGGUCGCUGCAGUACAUAAGAAUAUCUUGCUGACUGUAAGAUGAAACGCAUUUUGUAAAUGAAUUGCUAAGAUGUAUUUAAACAGCUAAAAGUGAUGUUAUCAAUAUGUCAGUAAUUAACAUUUUGAAAGUGUGGUUGUAUAUUCAGGCCUGCUGUGAAGUGAUAUCAAAUAUAACAAGCCUUACAUCAAUGUCAUUUUGGACUGUGAACAUUGUUUUAUGGAGUAUACUAAGCAUGUACACCUCAAGGUGAAAUACAAGUUUUUAUAGUUCUGUACAUUAUUAUCAUUAAAUAUCAUUAAAUAGCAAGAAUAAGCCUUAAUUGUAGCAUUUUGGGCUGUAAUCAAAUGAUCCACCAUUCUAACCCACCGUUAUAUGUAAAAAAUUUAUCCCGUUAGAGAAUGUCAGGGAAAUGUCUUAAACUGAUGUAUUCUUACUGAUUAAAGGACUGGGUCACCAUGUUUAGAUAAGAAAAGGAAUGUGGGAGAGGGGGAUCUGGUAUUUGUCUAAAGGGGCAUCCUUGACUGGUAUCAGCAGAUUAUAGGGUUACUCGUAAAUCUGUAUAACCCAUCAGUGUCUAUCUGUUGUUUGUCCAGAUGCUUUAAGUCCUCCUCAAGGGUUGAGAAGGUUACCCAGGUGGGGUAGGACAACACGUCCCUUGUGUGAAUCCUAGGAUAUGCGAUAGAACAAAGGGAAUGUGUUUUAUUGACAUAAGACAGAUGGGCAGUAUUUUACCACACCCCUUUUUCCCCUUUAAGUACUGACGAUUGUCCUGUAUUAAUUUAGCGAUUAUUCACUGUUACUCUGUAACCUGUGUACUCUCUCCUUGCAAGAAUAAAACUGUUUAUUGUGCAACUGAGUUUUCCUCUGUCUUACCUACCAUUUUCGUGAAUUGUUUGGACUUGAGAAAUUGCCAUCACAAGAACUUGAUGGGAAAUUAUUGCUUACAUUAUUAGA